AUUAUCCACUAGGGGCGCUUUAUGCUGAGAUAGACAGUUUGUCUGGUCCCUUUGAACCUGAUUUGGUUAAUACCAACGUAGGGAAGUGGUUGCGCAGCUUA
rfam:Enterococcus sp. HSIEG1 chromosome, whole genome shotgun sequence.